AUCCUGUCCACGUUCACGGAUAUCAUACACAAAGUGGCUGGUCUGGAAUAAGGACCUUCUUUCCUUGGUGUUUUCUAUCGACCUUUCAUUCCCUAAACAUGAAGGUGGGAUUAGUGAUCAUUCCAAUGGUGUUGAUGCUGUCUAAGAAAAGUCAUUCAAUUACAGUUUCAAGCAUCGAUUGCGGUGGCGUAUGCUCUGCAACUAUUGGAUCCAGUUACACCCUCACCUGCAGAUGGAGCGGAACAUUACAAUAUGGCAUUACGUGGAAGAAGGACGGAUCUAUGGUAGUCACAUGUGGUACUGCUACAUGUCUUCCAUCAGUAGCUGGCUAUGCGAAUGGGAGUUACCUCAAUUCUCAAAUGGCACAACUACACAUCGCAUCAUUCAGCAAUGCAGAUGUUGGAAACUGGAGUUGCAGUGAUGGAAAUGACACAUCUAAAACCUGUAGAACAACACCAGCUCGAAGAAAUAUCGCCUUGGAAGCAUCAUGUAAAAGGGUUGGAAGGAGUCGGCUGGUGACGUGUACUUUAAAUGACCAUGGAUCACCGCCCAUAACACUUGAAAUGAGGUCAAAAGACGACGUAGUAGAUUCAACCACCUCAGAAGGCCAAUUGAAACGGACGUACCUAGGAAGCCGUGUAUCGUCAUAUACCUGUGCGGUAGCCGGAGAGAGAUCUGAAUGUGUAACACCGAAAUCAAAAUCGACAACGUGUGGUGACUUUGAAGUACUGAUUGCUGGUAGCGUCAUAAUCGUUAUUCUCAUUCCUUGUGUGGUCGGAUGUCUCCUCUACAUCAAGUGUGCAAACAAGAGAAGAUUAUGUUUGUCCUUUUACAUAAUCAAUGGCACCCUCCUAGCCGCUGGCGUUGUGCUCCUCGUCAUGAUCUUCAUACGAAAUACUGACAUUUCAGAUUACAAUGAUCCCCUGUUCCUAUCUGCUGCCUUCAUCGUCUUCGCCGGGUUGAUUGUUGGGAUUGUGGCGAGCAUUAUUCUACACAAGUGUCACGUAAACAGUUCACAUUGACGUAUUCACAACGUUAUAGUUGUGGCAGAAUUGUCAUUAAAUAUCUCAGAUACAUGACUGAUUAAAACAACAAUGGGAUAUGUUUGUGAUGAAAAUCCGAAUAUAAUUUGACAUUUAAAUGUCUAUGUUUAUUUUGCCAGCGUAAUAGAUAUAUCAUCUUGUUAAAUCUUGAGCAUAUUUGUGACGUUACCUAGUUAUCUAUUUUAGCUACUGGUGAAUUUCAAAACUCACCGAAAAUAAAAAAUGAGCCACUUUGUUCCUUAUUCAUCCAUUAGAGAGUCGUGACAUCGCUAAGUAUUCAAUGACAACACAAAGUCUAGGAGUCGGCUGUAGUCAUCAUCUCAAGAUGUAAAUGCACAUUGUGCAUACAAUAUGGGUUGGGGAUGGGUCAAGGGCGGAGAGCUUUGACGUUGCUUGUUGCAUAAUAGGAAGUACGUAUGGCCAAAGAAUUUAGUUUGUGUAACAUUUUGACGUUAAUUUGCCCUGCACAAGUACCAAGUCUGUUCUGUCGGUAUGGGAGACGGCAGCACACAUAAUUACGUUGAGCUUCUGGCAGUCAGUCUUGGAAUGUUUCACAGUUUACUAGUUGUGCAAUUGUGAUCACAGACAAAUGAAACCCAAUCUUUUUCAUAGCCUAACAACUCAUGUUGCAUGUUCAUUUCAUGUUGGUGUGUUUGGUCGCCACGCAUGCGUUUCUCCCAUUUUUUUGUUUGUAUUUUUGGCCGUACUUCAUUCCAUCCAAUUACUCUUGAUGCAUGCAUAUUUGGUAUUCCUUUCGUAUGAAUACCAGCAAACAUUCCGUCAUAUGUUUCCAAUUUUUCUACUUAUGGGUAGCUUUACUGCAGAGUAUAUAUAGGAACACUGAAUGAUCGGGGGUCACUUAGAAGUGCUUUUAUAGGGUUAUUUUUGUUAAUUCAUCAGGAGCAGAAAGAUAAUUAGAUACCUAUAAUAAAUAUUUCAGUAAACGUAUCUAUAAAUGAAUACAUCCGCUCAGUUUGCAAAAUGCAUACAGUUUACUGUACAAAAUUAUAAUGUUGCUGUAUUAGUAAAGUCUCUUAAAGCGUC
rnacentral:misc_RNA from 1 species